rnacentral:rRNA from 1 species
UACGGAGGAUGCAAGCGUUAUCCGGAAUGAUUGGGCGUAAAGCGUCCGCAGGUGGCUAUGUAAGUCUGCUGUUAAAGAGUGAGGCUCAACCUCAUAAGAGCAGUGGAAACUACAUGGCUAGAGUGCGUUCGGGGCAGAUGGAAUUCCUGGUGUAGCGGUGAAAUGCGUAGAUAUCAGGAAGAACACCGGUGGCGAAAGCGCUCUGCUAGGCCGCAACUGACACUGAGGGACGAAAGCUAGGGGAGCGAAUGGG